UACGUAGGGACCAAGCGUUGUUCGGAUUUACUGGGCGUAAAGGGCGCGUAGGCGGCGUGGUAAGUCACUUGUGAAAUCUCCGAGCUUAACUCGGAACGGUCAAGUGAUACUGCUGUGCUAGAGUGCAGAAAGGGCAAUCGGAAGUUCUUGGUGUAGCGGUGAAAUGCGUAGAUAUCAAGAGGAACACCCUGAGGCGAAGGCGGGUUGCUAGGCUGACACUGACGCUGAGGCGCGAAAGCUAGGGUAGCAAACGGG
rnacentral:rRNA from 1 species